rnacentral:lncRNA from 1 species
GAUCGGAAGCCCGUUUUUAAGCAAUGUGUGACUGUAUGUACUAUUAUUCUCUUCCUUUACGCCAAAGAGAGGCACAGAGAUAGAUAUGGGUUGAAUUGUGUCCCCUGGAAAAGAUACGUUGAUGUCCUAACCCCCCAGUACCUCAGAAUGUGACCUUAUCUGGAUAAAGGGGUAUUGCAGACAUAAUUAGUGGAAAUGACGUCAUAGUAGAGUUGGGUUCAUAACCUAUUGUGAUUGAUGUCCUCAUGAGAACAGGAGAGAGAGAGACACGGAGAAUGCCAUGUGGACAGAGGUCGAGGCUGGGUGAGGCAGCUACAAGUCAAGGACACCAAAGAUGGCUGGCAGCCUCCAGAAACCAGGGGAGAGCCUGGGGCAGCUUCUCUCAGAGCCCUCAGAAGGAAACAACACCAACGCCAGUCUCAUGUUGGGCUUCUGGCCUCCAGAACUGUGAAAGAUUACUUUUCUUUUGUUUCCAGCCACCUGGUCUCUGGUACUUUGGGACGGCAGCCCUAGGCAACAAUGUAGAGCUGUUAAGCCAUGUGCCCACGGUCACACAGCCAGGUGGUCUCACAGCUACAUGUGUUCCGUGCUUGCAGCAGGGUGCUCCAGGGAAUGUGACAUGGUGAUGACUGCUGUUUCUAAUUACUGCCCUAUCAGGAGGCAGAGGAAGGAGCCAGCCUGGUGGGCCACUGAGGAAACGCUGACGUUCCUGAUUGUCGGGUAGCUGGGGCUGGUAGGGCCUGGCUGAUGCCUGCCUGGUCACUUGGGAGUGAGGACUUGCCUUUCCCCAAACAAACUCAACAUCUGAAUGAUUGACAAGGGCACAGCAAUCAAUAAGUCCUUAUUUCCUGA